rnacentral:rRNA from 1 species
UACGAAGGGGGGCUAGCGUUGCUCGGAAUUACUGGGCGUAAAGGGCGCGUAGGCGGAUAUCUAAGUUUGGGGGGUGAAAUCCCGGGGCUCAACCUCGGAAUUGCCUUCAAAACUGGAUAUCUUGAGUUCGGGGAGAGGUGAGUGGUAACUCCGAGUGUAGAGGUGAAAUUCGUAGAUAUUCGGAAGAACACCAGUGGCGAAGGCGACUCACUGGCCCGAUACUGACGCUGAGGCGCGAAAAGCGUGGGGGAGCAAACAGG